GAUGAACGCUGGCGGCGUGCCUAACACAUGCAAGUCGAGCGGACAGACGAGGAGUUUGCUCCUUUGACGUUAGCGGCGGGCGGGUGAGUAACACGAGGAUAACCUACUUAUAAGACUGGGAUAAUUACGGGGAAGCGGAGACAAUAACGGAUAAGAUGUUGAACGGGAGGGAUCAACAGAGAAAGACGGUUUUGGUGACACUAAUAGAGGGAUCCGCGCCGCAUUAGCUAGUUGGUAAGGUAACGGCGUACCAAGGCAACGAUGCGUAGCCGACCUGAGAGGGUGAUCAGCCACACUGGAACUGAGACACGGUCCAGACUCCUACGGGAGGCAGCAGUGGGGAAUCUUGCGCAAUGGGCGAAAGCCUGACCCAGCCAUGCCGCGUGUGUGAUGAAGGUCUUCGGAUCGUAAAGCUCUGUUAUUAGGGAAGAACAGCUGUAUGUUUAUCCCUGGCCGUUUUGACGGUACCUAAUGAAUAAGCCCCGGCUAACUUCGUG
rnacentral:rRNA from 1 species